rfam:Schistosoma curassoni strain Dakar, Senegal genome assembly, scaffold: SCTD_scaffold0003050
AUCCAGAUGACGAUUCCCAAAUAGGACGAAACGCGAAUUCUGGAU